rnacentral:rRNA from 1 species
GAUGAACGCUGGCGGCGUGCCUAAUACAUGCAAGUCGAGCGAACGGACGAGAAGCUUGCUUUUCUGAUGUUAGCGGCGGACGGGUGAGUAACACGUGGAUAACCUACCUAUAAGACUGGGAUAACUUCGGGAAACCGGAGCUAAUACCGGAUAAUAUUUUGAACCGCAUGGUUCAAAAGUGAAAGACGGUCUUGCUGUCACUUAUAGAUGGAUCCGCGCUGCAUUAGCUAGUUGUUAAGGUAACGGCUUACCAAGGCAACGAUGCAUAGCCGACCUGAGAGGGUGAUCGGCCACACUGGAACUGAGACACGGUCCAGACUCCUACGGGAGGCAGCAGUAGGGAAUCUUCCGCAAUGGGCGAAAGCCUGACGGAGCAACGCCGCGUGAGUGAUGAAGGUCUUCGGAUCGUAAAACUCUGUUAUUAGGGAAGAACAUAUGUGUAAGUAACUGUGCACAUCUUGACGGUACCUAAUCAGAAAGCCACGGCUAACUACGUG